rnacentral:sRNA from 1 species
GUUCGUACGUGUAUGCAAGUCUGUGUAUUUUCUCGUUCGUAGGUGUAUGCAAGUCUGUGUAUUUUCUCGUUCGUAGGUGUAUGCAAGUCUGUGUAUUUUCUCGUUCGUAGGUGUAUGCAAGUCUGUGUAUUUUCUCGUUCGUAGGCGUAUGCAAGUCUGUGUAUAAUUGUCUUGUUCGUAGGCGUAUGCAAGUCUGUGUAUAAUUGUCUUGUUCGUAGGUGUAUGCUAGUCUGUGUAUUUUCUCGUUCGUAGGUGUAUCCAAAUAUGUGUAUAACUGUCUCGUUCGUAGGUGUGUGCAAGUCUGUGCAUUUUCUCGUUCGUAGGCGUAUGCAAGUCUGUGUAUAAUUGUCUCGUUCGUCGGUUUACCCCACCCC